AAACCGCCUAGAGGUAAACGGGUGGAUCCGCAAAGUCGGCCCGCGGAAUUCAGCUCGGAAGGCCGUGAGCCCGCGGUGGGUCGGGGAUCUUGUCGACCCUCCCGCCGCGGGACCUCGCGUCGACCGUGUGCACUUUCCGCGGGCAGAGCGCCACGACCGGUUCUCGGGCGGUCAGAAGGCGGCGGGGAUGGUAGGCGCGCGCUUCGGCGUGCGCUGGUAUAGCCCCGCCUGUCCCGAUCCGCCUGGGGACCGAGGAGCCGCCGCCGGUGUAGGCCGCCUUGCCCUCCUGGGAGGUUCGACUGGCAGAGACUGGGCAACCGUGUCUGCCGACCGCCUUUCGGUGAUGGAUUGGGGUGGGCCCGCCGGCACAGGGUCGGUGGCGAAUCGGUCGGCCCUCCACCCGACCCGUCUUGAA
rnacentral:rRNA from 1 species